rnacentral:rRNA from 1 species
ACGCGAAGAACCUUACCUGGGUUUGAAUGUCAUCUGUAAGCCUCAGAGACGAGGUCCCCUCUUCGGAGGCAGGUGGCGAGGUGCUGCAUGGCUGUCGUCAGCUCGUGUCGUGAGAUGUUGGGUUAAGUCCCGCAACGAGCGCAACCCUUGUCCAUAGUUACUAACGGGUAGAGCCGAGAACUCUAUGGAGACUGCCGGUGAUAAACCGGAGGAAGGUGGGGAUGACGUCAAGUCCUCAUGGCCUUUAUGUCCAGGGCUACACACGUGCUACAAUGGGCGGCACAAAGAGUUGCGAUCCCGCGAGGGGGAGCUAAUCUCAAAAAACCGCUCUCAGUUCGGAUUGCAGUCUGCAACUCGACUGCAUGAAGCUGGAAUCGCUAGUAAUCGCGGAUCAGCACGCCGCGGUGAAUACGUUCCCGGGCCUUGUA